rnacentral:tRNA from 1 species
GGUCCUAUAGCUCAGUCGGUAGAGCACAGUGCUAAUAUCGCUGCAGUCCAGGGUUCGAACCCCAGUAUGACCA